AUCAACCAUCAUCACAUCAUCAUCUUCCUGCCAGAGAGACAAAGGGCAGGGAGAUCUGGAGCCUUCAAUAAAUCCUGUAGCGAGGUAUUCCUGAUGUCCCAGACUGAGCAGAAUUCCCAAUUCCUGUCUCGUCCAUCACCACAUUGAAGACGGUUGGUCAGCCAGAGAGAGAUGGAGAGUGAGAUCUGGAGCUUUUAGUAAAUCCUGCAGCCGAUGGCAAUGACUCAGUGCUACCUGAGAAAAUGUCAAUGUCCUCAUACUUGCUGCUGAGUAUCCGCGGUGGAGGGAGGGAGUCGUUGUGGAUGGGGACCAUUUAUUUCGGCUGCUCAGUCUUUUAUCGCGUCAAACUGAGUGCUUCUGGAGUUGCACUCAUCAAACAAGUGGAGAUUAUUUGAUCAUAUUCCUGAUUUGAACCUUGGAGAUUUUGGACAGGCUUUGGCAAGCCAGGAGAAAAGUUACUUGC